rnacentral:rRNA from 1 species
UACGGGGGGAGCAAGCGUUGUUCGGAUUUACUGGGCGUAAAGGGCGCGUAGGCGGCCACAACAAGUCACUUGUGAAAUCUCCGGGCUUAACCCGGUGGCGGCCAAGUGAUACUGUUGGGCUAGAGUGCGGAAGGGGCAACUGGAAUUCUCGGUGUAGCGGUGAAAUGCGUAGAUAUCGAGAGGAACACCUGCGGCGAAGGCGGGUUGCUGGGCCGACACUGACGCUGAAGUGCGAAAGCUAGGGGAGCGAACGGG